UCGAUCCUGAGACGUUCGAUAACCUAUUAUUUUGAACCUACAGAUGGAAAACGGGAGUCCUAUAUCGCAUAAUCUACAUCAGGCCGCAAGCUAAUUCCCUUUGGGCGGUGGAAGAUGGAGGAUUCUGUUGCGGACACCCACCUAGCGAAGGCUAGGUGUCAAAAUAUAGGACCGGCGCCUUGGGUCUUUU
rnacentral:sRNA from 1 species